GAUGAACGCUGACAGAAUGCUUAACACAUGCAAGUCAACUGUGGCGGACGGGUGAGUAACGCGUAAAGAACUUGCCUCACAGAUAGGGACAACCUUUGGAAACGAAUGCUAAUACCUGAUACUGUGAGAGAGCUUUGCGUCCCAUUAGCUAGUUGGAGAGGUAACGGCUCACCAAGGCGAUGAUGGGUAGCCGGCCUGAGAGGGUGAUCGGCCACAAGGGGACUGAGACAAGGCCAUUACUCCUACGGGGAGCAGCGGUGGUGAAUAUUGGAAAAUGGACCAAAGUCUGAUCCAGAAAUUCUGUGUGCACGAUGAAGUUGUCGGAAUGUAAAGUGCUUUCAGUUGGGAAGCAGUACCAACAGAAGAAGUGACGGCUAAAUACGUGCCAGCAGCCGCGGUAAUAC
rnacentral:rRNA from 1 species